AUGGUGGGUGCAGUGGGGCAGCUUGGCAGGAGCACCCACACCCAAGCAGCUGAGGGGUGCAACACACCGCAGACACCCCCCCACAACUCCCUCCCAGCUGCCAGCAGAGCCGGGGGACAAGGGGGAACUGGGUGGCUCUGGAACGGUCACGGGGGGCUGGGGGGGCUGGGGGACCCUGGCCCCACAGGGGCUCUGGGGGUGCGUGGUUUUGCUUGGCAUCGCACUCCCUUCUCACACCCGGGGGUCCCCCAGGCUGGGGUUUGUGGUGCUGGGUGUUUUGGGAGGGGGUGGGGUGUGUGCUCCCAUGGUCCCCAUCCCACCCUCAGAGACCGUCCCCCGGAAAACACAGGGUUAACGGUCAGCACCGGGGAGAUGGGCCUAAAUCUGGGGCUUAUUUGUGCCAAAAAAGACAUGAGGAAGCGGAAGAGGAGUUGUUCCCACGCUGGGGUGGCCGGGGGGGUCCCGUCGAGCCCCGUGGGGAGGAGACAUCCCGAGCUGGAUGUGGCCUCUGGGGCUGGGAGACACUGGGAGACGCUGGGAGAUGCUGGGUGCUGCAAACUGGGGGGCAGAUUGGGGCAGAUUUGGGGGGAUUUGUGCCGUGGGAGCCAGGGGAGCCAAGCCCCGGUGUGGGGAGCAUCACUGGUCCUUGCCCCCCUGCAUCCCCAGCUCCCCCAUCCCGGUUUUGGGGGCACCACUGGGAUGAAGAGCCCCCUCUCCAUCCCCUCUUCAUCUCCUCCAUCCCCUUCAUCCCCUCCAUCCCCUCCAUCCCCUCCAUCCCCAGGGAGGGGGGUUUCUCAGCCACCACCACGGAGGCCAAGCCCGGCCGAUCCCGCCUCAAACCCUCCCACCAACCGGCGAAAUAAGGAUGAGGAUAGUAAUAAUAAAAAAUCAAUAAACAUUUAUUCGAUACAGCUGUUUUUAAUACAUACAGUACAUGGAGUUACCCCUCCGCGGUGCUCGGCGGCGCGGCUGAUCAGAGCUGCUGUUACAGUACUCUCCAACUGA
rnacentral:lncRNA from 1 species